rnacentral:rRNA from 1 species
GUGGGGAAUUUUGGACAAUGGGCGCAAGCCUGAUCCAGCAAUGCCGCGUGCAGGAAGAAGGCCUUCGGGUUGUAAACUGCUUUUGUACGGAACGAAACGGUCCGGGUUAAUACCCUGGGCUAAUGACGGUACCGUAAGAAUAAGCACCGGCUAACUACGUGCCAGCAGCCGCGGUAAUACGUAGGGUGCAAGCGUUAAUCGGAAUUACUGGGCGUAAAGCGUGCGCAGGCGGUUUUGUAAGACAGGCGUGAAAUCCCCGGGCUCAACCUGGGAAUUGCGCUUGUGACUGCUAGGCUGGAGUGCGGCAGAGGGGGAUGGAAUUCCGCGUGUAGCAGUGAAAUGCGUAGAUAUGCGGAGGAACACCGAUGGCGAAGGCAAUCCCCUGGGCCUGCACUGACGCUCAUGCACGAAAGCGUGGGGAGCAAACAGGAUUAGAAACCCCAGUAGUCC